AGCUAUGUAGCUCAGUUGGUUAGAGCACAGCAUUCAUAACGCUGAGGUCAUGGGUUCAAAUCCCAUCAUAGCUA
rnacentral:tRNA from 1 species